rnacentral:rRNA from 1 species
CACCCUUGUGGUGUGUGGGUUUUGGCCGAGCGCGGGACCUGAUCCCGGGAGGUAAGCGUAUUAACAGGUGUGACGCAGGAAGGUAGCCGGGCCGGGCGAUGGUUGCCCCGGUCUAAGGAUGUAGGGUCAGGGAUAGGCAAAUCCGUUCCUGUGUGUUGAAUCACGAUCCUGAGAUCUGAUGGGACCCCCGUUUGGGGGGAUCCGGUGAUCCUAUGCUGCCAAGAAAAGCAUCGACGCGAGGUUUUAGCCGCCCGUACCCCAAACCGACACAGGUGAUCAGGUAGAGAAUACCAAGGCGAUCGAGAGAAUUAUGGUUAAGGAACUCGGCAAAAUGCCCCCGUAACUUCGGGAGAAGGGGGGCCUGCCCCGUGAUGGAGACUUGCUCUCCGUGAGCGGGUGUGGGCCGCAGAGACCAGGGGGAAGCGACUGUUUACUAAAAACACAGGUCCGUGCGAAGUCGCAAGACGAUGUAUACGGACUGACUCCUGCCCGGUGCUGGAAGGUUAAGAGGACCGGUUAGCCCUUUAUGGGCGAAGCUGAGAAUUUAAGCCCCAGUAAACGGCGGUGGUAACUAUAACCAUCCUAAGGUAGCGAAAUUCCUUGUCGGGUAAGUUCCGACCUGCACGAAUGGAGUAACGACUUCCCCGCUGUCUCAACCAUAAACUCGGCGAAAUUGCAGUACGAGUAAAGAUGCUCGUUACGCGCAGCAGGACGGAAAGACCCCGAGACCUUUACUAUAGUUUGGUAUUGGUGUUCGGAGUGGCUUGUGUAGGAUAGGUGGGAGACGUUGAAACCCGGACGCCAGUUCGGGUGGAGUCAUCGUUGAAAUACCACUCUGGUCACUUUGGACAUCUAACUUCGGCCCGUGAUCCGGGUCAGGGACAGUGCCUGAUGGGUAGUUUAACUGGGGCGGUUGCCUCCUAAAAAGUAACGGAGGCGCCCAAAGGUUCCCUCAGCCUGGUUGGCAAUCAGGUGUCGAGUGUAAGUGCACAAGGGAGCUUGACUGUGAGAGAGACAUCUCAAGCAGGGACGAAAGUCGGGACUAGUGAUCCGGCGGUACAUUGUGGAAUGGCCGUCGCUCAACGGAUAAAAGGUACCUCGGGGAUAACAGGCUGAUCUUGCCCAAGAGUCCAUAUCGACGGCAUGGUUUGGCACCUCGAUGUCGGCUCGUCGCAUCCUGGGGCUGGAGUAGGUCCCAAGGGUUGGGCUGUUCGCCCAUUAAAGCGGUACGCGAGCUGGGUUUAGAACGUCGUGAGACAGUUCGGUCCCUAUCCGCUGCGCGCGCAGGAAAUUUGAGAAGGGCUGUCCUUAGUACGAGAGGACCGGGACGGACGAACCUCUGGUGUGUCAGUUGUACUGCCAAGUGCAUCGCUGAUUAGCUACGUUCGGAUGGGAUAACCGCUGAAAGCAUCUAAGCGGGAAGCUCGCUUCAAGAUGAGAUUUCCAUACACAUUAUGUGUGAGAGGCCCCCAGCCAGACCACUGGGUUGAUAGGCCGGAUGUGGAAGCGAGGACUAAAGACUCGUGAAGCUGACCGGUACUAAUAGGCCAACAACUUACACCAC